GGUAUUACCUUCUUUUUUACCCUAAUAUUCUCUACACACAACACUAGACACAACAACCGCCAUUAGAAAGAAACCGAACCCUCUUCUUUGCGUCUCCUUCCUAAUCGCCUCAGAAUCUAUUAGGAAGGAGAAACACUCACGGAGUGUUGAACGCUGUAAGUUGGGGAGUAAUGAUGCCAAUGGGAGCCAUGGCUGCGAGAUAUCUAAAAGUCUUCAAGUCGGCUAACCCAGCCUGGUUCUACAUCCAUGUCACCUGCUAGGCUUCCGCCUACGUCGUCGGAGUAGCCGGAUGGGCCAUUAGACUGAAACUCAGCAGCGACUCCGUCGGAAUCGAAUACAACACUCACCGCAACAUCAGAAUCGCACUUUUUUCCCUAGGAACCAUUUAGGCAUUUGCUCUGUUUUUUAGGCCAAAACCAGAGAACAAAUACAGAUUUUACUGGAACAUCUACCACCACGCCACCGGAUACGCCAUCAUUGGUUGUCGCUACAACCUAUUAGUGGGUCACCCUCCACCAUUUCGUUCAAUUCUUAGCAAACAACAACGAUCGGAUUGGAUCAACAAAAGUUGGCUUCUCCUCAAAUUACAACAUCAAACAAUAUCCUCUCCAAUUUGUAUCUUUCUAUUCUCUAUUCUUAUGCCAUAACUUAUGUCCUACAACCCUAAUUUUUUCUAAAUCGUUAGUCAGACGAGGGUUAUUAUUCUUCCAAAUGUUAAUUUUGUGUAAAUCGCCCUUUUGGGUGUUGAUGAGUUGUUGCUUAAGUUUAUUGAUAAGUUUUGCAGGUUGGUACUUUUUAAUCACCAGUUGUUAUCAAUACUCAAUCUAUUAAGUGCUGAGUUGAUGAGUAAAGUAAGUAAAGUUUAGUGUUUGAUAUCUUAUUUUCAUCAUACUUGGUUAUUUAUUUCCUUGCAGAUGGAUGGCUUUGUGUUGCCACCUACCGAGUCAGCUGAAAUCUUGAAAGAUAAUGAACUUUUCUGUAUAAAAAGGAAAGACGAGGCAACACCUGAUGCAGAAAAUUUGCUUGAUGAAGUGCAAGCUGAUGAAGAACAAUUUCAAGAUGAAGAACCAGUUUCUAAGAAAAGAAAACCCUCCAUUAAACUUCAAAACUCGAAGUAAACCUUAUAUCGUGUGUACCUUUUGUCACAUUUGUGAGCAGGUUUAUAUUUUAUUUUCACUCUUCAACUGCUAAUCCAUCAACAUUAUAUUUUCUUAUUAGGAAUAUUAUCAUUCUCCCGAUUGUAUUCAUGUUAGAUUUUCAUUUUGUAGUCAAGAUUGUAGUUGGUGGCUUAGUACAAAAGAUUUCUAGUAAUACCCUUCCUAAAGAUUUGAUCUGUGUGCCAGCUAAGCUUGAGAAAAGGACACGUUCGUGGUAAUCGUAGCAUAGACACCAUUAUGCUUGAUCUUGCCAAGUUAAUUGGAAAAGGAAAGAUACCCAUGUAGGUCAGAUUACUAAAAUUCUAAAAUAGGGUAAAACAAGAGCGGUAUUUUUGACUUUUUGUCAAAAUAUAUAGUUUUUAUAAAACAUUUUACAGGUGCUUAAAGAUGUUGGCCAGUUGAUUAAUCUUACACUUACCCAUGCUAAAAAUCAUCAACCUUUAUCCGGAUCCACAACAUUUAACCGAAUUGAGCUUCCAACAAAUAAAGAUCCAUUAAAUGCAUUGUACGUUGGUUCACAUGGGCUUUACACUUCAGAACUGAUUCAAUUAAGGCGUAAAUUUGGUCGGUGGAAAGAAGAAGGCCGCAUGAAAGAGCUUUCAAAUCUUUAGUUUUAUGAAUAUGUAGAAGCAGUUAAGCUAACAGGGGAUGCUUAGGUGCCAGCUGGACAGGGUAUUAUCGUCAAUUUGUGAUUGAUUUCAGUCACCGAUCAAUUCAAGCAUACAUACGCAAAAGGUUAAAAUUGAAGGAUGACGACAAAAUCUAUAGUUUUUGGACUACUACGGGGCGAUCUAUGCAGUUUUUACUCUUCUUCAUCCUUUCAUGUAUAUUCACUUAGGGCGCCUAACCAUGUUAGUAUGUUUAAUGAAAUAAUGAAAAAAAAUUAGAGAAGGGUAAAAUAGUCAUUUUAGUUGUGUGAAUCUAUCUUUGUGACCAUGUUUGUGUUGUCUUUUGUUGGACUUUUUGCCUUAUAAAUGGUUGCUUCUAUUUCUUGGAUCUA